UACAGAGGGUGCGAGCGUUAAUCGGAAUUACUGGGCGUAAAGCGUGCGUAGGUGGUUUGUUAAGUCUGAUGUGAAAGCCCUGGGCUCAACCUGGGAAUUGCAUUGGAUACUGGCAGGCUAGAGUGCGGUAGAGGGUAGUGGAAUUCCCGGUGUAGCAGUGAAAUGCGUAGAGAUCGGGAGGAACACCAGUGGCGCAAGCGGCUGACUGGCCGAGACCUGACGCUGAGACGCGACGGCGUGGGGAGCAAACCGG
rnacentral:rRNA from 1 species